GACAGUGGGGCAUCGCGGGCGGUGAUCAGGCAUUUCCUCAGCUGCCCAAAAUAGCCGGGCAGCGACCCGCGGUCGCGCAGAGCCGCGCGCUCCGUGGGCAGGCACAGGUGCCAUGCGGGGGGAGAACGGAUGGGGACGACAGGAAGACAAGGUCAGGGAUGGUCUAAGGCAAAACACUGCCGUAGUUGAAAUGAGUGCUGUCUCGUGCCCUCUGCUCCCCAUCCUUACAGAACAGAGCCUGUUGUGUGGAACCUGUUCAGGCUGGAGAUGGUGGAAAGGCUAAAGUUCAAGUUCACAGACCCAAAAAAGAGAAGAGCCAGAGCUGGAGUUUAAGAAUUUGCAGAAACGUGAUUAUAUCUGUUUAUCAAAAUUUAGUCUCUCCACCUGAUGCUAAAUAACAAGGCAACAGGUAGUGGCUCUCCCAGGUCACAGACAUCAUCUGCUACAGCAGUCGAUACUCUGCUUGUGUCUCUAGUGCCUCCAGUGCAUCUCAUGCAGCCUGGCAGUAGCUUUCCUUACAUCUGCUGUUUGUGAGGCAGGCAGAGAGCCGAUCACAGAGGGAGAACAACGCCAGGCACAGGAGUCACUCUUGCCUCCACUUCUGUUACAGCCAAGGAGGAUGAGAAACAUGCUCUUUCCCCUCAGGCAGCUGGAG